CAGUCGAGCGAAUGACGAGGAGCUUGCUCCUCUGAUUUAGCGGCGGACGGGUGAGUAACACGUGGGUAACCUGCCUGUAAGACGGGGAUAACUUCGGGAAACCGAAGCUAAUACCGGAUAAUAAAGAGAAACUCCUGUUUCUUUUUUGAAAGUCGGUUUCGGCUGACGCUUACAGAUGGGCCCGCGGCGCAUUAGCUAGUUGGUGAGGUAACGGCUCACCAAGGCCACGAUGCGUAGCCGACCUGAGAGGGUGAUCGGCCACACUGGGACUGAGACACGGCCCAGACUCCUACGGGAGGCAGCAGUAGGGAAUCUUCGGCAAUGGACGAAAGUCUGACCGAGCAACGCCGCGUGAGCGAUGAAGGCCUUCGGGUCGUAAAGCUCUGUUGUCAGAGAAGAACAAGUACCGGAGUAACUGCCGGUACCUUGACGGUACCUGACCAGAAAGCCACGGCUAACUACGUGCCAGCAGCCGCGGUAAUACGUAGGUGGCAAGCGUUAUCCGGAAUUAUUGGGCGUAAAGCGCGCGCAGGCGGUUCCUUAAGUCUGAUGUGAAAGCCCACGGCUCAACCGUGGAGGGUCAUUGGAAACUGGGGAACUUGAGUGCAGGAGAGAAAAGUGGAAUUCCACGUGUAGCGGUGAAAUGCGUAGAGAUGUGGAGGAACACCAGUGGCGAAAGCGGCUUUUUGGCCUGUAACUGACGCUGAGC
rnacentral:rRNA from 1 species